rnacentral:rRNA from 1 species
CCUACGGGUGGCAGCAGUGGGGAAUAUUGGACAAUGGGCGAAAGCCUGAUCCAGCCAUGCCGCGUGUGUGAAGAAGGCCUUCGGGUUGUAAAGCACUUUCAGUGGGGAAGAAAGCCUUGGGGCUAAUACCCUCGAGGAAGGACAUCACCCACAGAAGAAGCACCGGCUAACUCCGUGCCAGCAGCCGCGGUAAUACGGAGGGUGCGAGCGUUAAUCGGAAUUACUGGGCGUAAAGCGCGCGUAGGCGGUCUGAUAAGCCGGUUGGGAAAGCCCCGGGCUCAACCUGGGAACGGCAUCCGGAACUGUCAGGCUAGAGUGCAGGAGAGGAAGGUAGAAUUCCCGGUGUAGCGGUGAAAUGCGUAGAGAUCGGGAGGAAUACCAGUGGCGAAGGCGGCCUUCUGGACUGACACUGACGCUGAGGUGCGAAAGCGUGGGUAGCAAACAGGAUUAGAUACCCUAGUAGC